GGCAGAUUAAAAGAUCACUUACAUUUCUUGUAAAAUAUGUAAUAGUCAUUGAUCUAAAAUUUGUUAUAUUUUUAACAUUUGUUUUUUUUUUUAAACUUCGUUUUAAAUUUAUUUACACAUUUUAGGGUUUUAUUUUUAAUGCAUUUGCAUCCGACACAUUUAUUGCAGGAAUAAAACCUUUAUCUGUUAAAGUUGUGGUUCUUCACAAGGAUAGGUUCACGUAAAAUUACUUUUUAAAUUGUGACCUCUCCUAGUUAUGAAUGGUUUAUCUGGCAGCAGUCUUAAGAGUUCCUCUAUCCAUCUAUCUAUCCUUUGAUCCCCUAUAAAUCAGCAAAAUUUCUGGCCCCCACUCUUAAUGGGAGUGCUCCUAAUCUCUGCCCAUUACGUGUAUAAAAGACACCUGUCCACAGAAGCAAUCAAUCCAAUUCCAAACUCUCCAUCAUGGCCAAGACCAAAGAGCUGUCCAAGGAUGUCAGGUACAAGAUUGUAGACCUAAACAAUGCUGGAAUGGGCUACAGGACAGUUGCCAAGCAGCUUGGUGAGAAGGUGACAAGAGGUGGUGUGAUUAUUCGCAAAUGUAAGAAACACAAAAUAACGGUCAGUCUCCCUCUAUCUGGUGCUUUAUGUAAAAUCUCACGUCGUGGAGUUUCAAUGAUCAUAACGUUGAGGGACCAGCCCAUAACUACACGGGAUUAUCUUGUCAAUGAUCUCAAGGCAGCUGGGACUAUAGUCAGCAAGAAAAGAAUUGGUAAUACACUACGUCGUGAAGGACUUAAAUCCUGAAAAGAAAAUUUUACAUUGAGAGACAGAAUAACAAAACAAAAUCCAGAAAAAUGCAUGUCAAAAAAGUUAUAAAUUGAUUUGCAUAUCAAUGAGCAUAUUGACCCCUUUGACUUAGUACUUGGUGGCAAAACCCUUGUUGACAAUCACAGAGGUCAGGAGGUCAGAUGUUUCAUGUAGUUGGCCACCAGGUUUGCACCCAUCUCAGGAGGGAUUUUGUGCCAGUCCUCUUUGCAGAUCCUCUCCCAAGUCUUUAAGGUUUCGAGACUGUUUGGCAACUCAAACUUUCAGCUCCCUCCACAGAUUUUCUAUGGGAUCAAGGGCUGGAGACUGGCUAGGCCACUCCAGGACCUUAACGUGCUUCUUCUUGAGCCACCAAUUUGUUGCAUUGGCUGUGUGUUUUUGUUAAUUCUCAUGCUGGAAUACCCAUCCAUGAGCCAUUUCCAAUGCCCUGGCUGAGGAAAGGAGGUUCUCAUCAAUGAUUUGACGGUACAUGGCCCUGUCCAUCGUCCCUUUGAUAUGGUGCAUUUGUCCUGUCCCCUUAGCAGAAAAACACCCCCAAUACAUAAUGUUUCCACCUCCAUGUUUGACGGUGGGGAUGGUGUUCUUGGGGUCAUAGGCAGCAUUCCUUCUCCUCCUCCAAACACGGCGAGUUGAAUUGAUGCGAAAGAGCUCUGUUUUGGUCUCAUCUGACCACAACACUUUCACCCAGUUCUCCUCUGAAUCAUUUAGAUAUUCAUUGGCAAACUUCAGACUGAAACGCGCGUCGGGCUGUGGGUGUUUUGUCACGCUUUUCAGACUGCUAUAAAUGUAGCCUGUUAUAUUGCAACACGCUACACCUAUUUAGGGACUCCCCUUCUUUUUGCCGGUUGAGUCUCUAUAUCUUGUACACUAGUUUUGGAGCUGUGAGAACCCUCUAUACCACUUCUUACUUUAUUUUCAUUUAUCUUUUUCUUCCUGUCCUUUCGAUUUACUCAUCUUUUUUGAUAUAUACAGUGCUAUUUUAGCAUGAGCGAAUUUAUCAUUUAGUAGGAUAUACAAGAGGGAAUACUACUCUGUUUGGCCAUAACUCCAUUAAUUUGGAUCAAUCUGGGAUCUUUACAGCUAUUUCUCAUUAUACGAGUAUGAGUAUAUAUGAGUAAAGACUAGUGAUGUGCCGAACGGUUCGCCGCGGACUCAUCAUUGAGUAAACUUUGACCCUGUACCUCACAGUCAGCAGACACAUUCCAGCCAAUCAGCAGCAGACCCUCCCUCCCAGACCCUCCCACCUCCUGGACAGCAUCCAUUUUACAUUCAUUGUGAAGCUGCAUUCUUAGUGAGCUGUCCAGGAGGUGGGAGGGUCUGGGAGGGAGUGUCUGCUGCUGAUUGGCUGGAAUGUGUCUGCUGACUGUGAGG